rnacentral:rRNA from 1 species
UGUAGCAAGGUUAACCGUAUAGGGGAGCCGGAGGGAAACCGAGUCUUAACCGGGCGUUAAGUUGCAGGGUAUAGACCCGAAACCCGGUGAUCUAGCCAUGGGCAGGUUGAAGGUUGGGUAACACUAACUGGAGGACCGAACCGACUAAUGUUGAAAAAUUAGCGGAUGACCUGUGGCUGGGGGUGAAAGGCCAAUCAAACCGGGAGAUAGCUGGUUCUCCCCGAAAGCUAUUUAGGUAGCGCCUCGUGAAUUCAUCUCCGGGGGUAGAGCACUGUUUCGGCUAGGGGGCCAUCCCGGCUUACCAACCCGAUGCAAACUGCGAAUACCGGAGAAUGUUAUCACGGGAGACACACGGCGGGUGCUAACGUCCGUCGUGAAGAGGGAAACAACCCAGACCGCCAGCUAAGGUCCCAAAGUCAUGGUUAAGUGGGAAACGAUGUGGGAAGGCCCAGACAGCCAGGAUGUUGGCUUAGAAGCAGCCAUCAUUUAAAGAAAGCGUAAUAGCUCACUGGUCGAGUCGGCCUGCGCGGAAGAUGUAACGGGGCUAAACCAU